rnacentral:rRNA from 1 species
UGGGUUAAGUCCCGCAACGAGCGCAACCCUUAAGCUUAGUUGCCAUCAUUAAGUUGGGCACUCUAAGUUGACUGCCGGUGACAAACCGGAGGAAGGUGGGGAUGACGUCAAAUCAUCAUGCCCCUUAUGAUUUGGGCUACACACGUGCUACAAUGGACAAUACAAAGGGCAGCGAAACCGCGAGGUCAAGCAAAUCCCAUAAAGUUGUUCUCAGUUCGGAUUGUAGUCUGCAACUCGACUACAUGAAGCUGGAAUCGCUAGUAAUCGUAGAUCAGCAUGCUACGGUGAAUACGUUCCCGGGUCUUGUACACACCGCCCGUCACACCACGAGAGUUUGUAACACCCGAAGCCGGUGGAGUAACCUUUUAGGAGCUAGCCGUCGAAGGUGGGACAAAUGAUUGGGGUGAAGUCGUAACAAGGUAGCCGUAUCGGAAGGUGCGGCUGGAUCACCUCCUUU